UAGUCCACGCCGUAAACGAUGAUCACUCGGUAUUGGCGAUACACUGUCAGUACCCUAGCGAAAGUGUUAAGUGAUCCACCUGGGAAGUACGUCGGCAACGAUGAAACUCAAAGGAAUUGACGGGGGCCCGCACAAGCGGUGGAGCAUGUGGUUUAAUUCGAUGAUACGCGAGGAACCUUACCAAGGCUUAAAUGCAGAACGACGUACCCGGAAACGGGUAUUUCUUCGGACGGUCUGCAAGGUGCUGCAUGGUUGUCGUCAGCUCGUGCUGUGAAGUGUCGGGUUAAGUCCCAUAACGAGCGCAACCCCUAUCUUUAGUUGCCAGCGAGUAAUGUCGGGGACUCUAGAGAAACUGCCGGUGUAAACCGUGAGGAAGGUGGGGAUGACGUCAAAUCAUCACGGCCCUUACGUCUUGGGCUACACACGUGCUACAAUGGUAGAUACAGUGAGCAGCCGCAUGGUGACAUGUAGCUAAUCUUAAAAAGUCUAUCUCAGUUCGGAUUG
rnacentral:rRNA from 1 species